CUGUGUUAAACAUACCUUUUCGUCUCCUACCAGAAGGUCCAUACCUUUACCCCUAAAUCGAGCUGACAAAAUCCUCUAUAUACAUAUCACUUGAGUUUUUUUUAAUCAACCCUUUUGUCUCUCUGCCAGUGUAUUUGUAAGCAAUUCUUGUUUCUUCAUCUUGCCCAUUAGUCGGUUGAGAUUCUACUUCCUCAUAACUAGUCCUUCUUCGAUAUUGUUCACUGGUGUUUCCAAAUUCCCUACGGCAAGACUGCUUUUAUGGCUCUCCCCAGUUCUUCUAGAUUCCUCUUCUCCCUGUCCAGUGGAUCUCCCCAGUUCUUCUAGAUCCCUCUUCUCCCUGUCCACACCUGCUGUCUUUGUCCUUUAGUGCUCUACCCAGGGCUCCACUACCGUCACCCUCUUUGUGAUUUCAUCAGCUUGGUUCCCUUCCCGCAGAUGAUUUAUGGCUCUCCCUCCCUCAGCCCUCACUCCUACAGAUGUCUGAGGUCACCUCUGUACCCACCUUGAACAUACCGCUUUUAUUACACACAUCCUAAAGUAUUGUCUUUGACUUACAUGUGGGGCUCUCCAAUCAGGCUGUGUGUGCCCCUUAUGGACAGGAAUUCUCUUAUUCAUCAGCUCCCCUCAGUAUCUAGUACAGAAUGUGACACAUAGUAGGGUUCCAGUAAGUGUUGCUGUGAUCAAAUCAAGUAAGGCAAGGAUUUUCUUCAAAGAUUCUUCAAGACUUUCUUUGACUCCAAAGAAAUGGGUGAAGGGGGCCAAAAGGUAAAAAGUGCAAGCUCUUCACACCUUACCAUUCUAUCAUCUGCUGACCCAGCUUGGACUGAGCCUUCUAGGUGAACAUCACUGGAUUCUGCUGGGCUUGUUGACAUACUAGAGAUGCUGCAUUCUCUUUGAAUGACUCAGAAGAUGGAGAUUCUAAAAGAGCUCAGCUGAGUGGUUCUGGCUGAGGGUUUCUCCUGCAAGUGCAGUCAGAUGGUGACAGGAGCUUAAACAGCAGGAGGCCAGCUAGACAACCCUCUUUGUUCCUGUUGUCUCAGAGCUAGCCUUCUCACUACAUGGUGGCUUCAGGGCAGUUGGACUCCUUAUACGGCUGGAAAUCAUUGGCUUAUGAGAAGCAUCAUAACCUCCAUUGUGGAGGCUUUGUGCUACACUUUUAAGAUGAUGGGUUUUGUCUUCGGGGGGCUAAUAAAUACAAGUGGCCCUAUUGUAUGGAAGCAACGAUUUCACUCUUCGAUGUGGAAGACUUCGAUACAGUAAUCCCUUCCAACAUCUGGCUGAGAUCUAGAGAGAAGGAGGAGGACUGAGCACCAAGUGUUGGGUACUGAGGCUCCCACCUCCCAGCUGCUCUUCUCUGCAGACUCCGCUCAGGCCUCCCAGUGAGAGGCUACCUGCCCCACAACAUGAGUGAAGAACCGAAGCUGAGUUUUCUUAGCACGAGAAGCUUUGCCCCUGCCACCGUGGAGGACAUCCCCUGCCAAACUCCCCUUUCUCUGAAGAAAUACCACUGAGACCAAGUGAGAAGUAGCUACAGUUUAAUACAAACCUGCACCAGAACACAAUGUG